GAAGUAAAAGUCGUAACAAGGUUUCCGUAGGUGAACCUGCGGAAGGAUCAUUAAUGAAUUUCGGAUUGUGCUGGCUUUGCAAGUGCACGUCCAUUCAUCCAAACCCUUGUGAACCUUUGACCUGAAGCCUCCGGGCAGAUGGUAUUACACAAACUCUUUAUUAUGUAUGUGACUAGUCUAAGGCAUUAGCCUAAUACUAUAACAACUUUCAACAACGGAUCUCUUGGCUCUCGCAUCGAUGAAGAACGCAGCGAAUUGCGAUAAGUAAUGUGAAUUGCAGAAUUCAGUGAAUCAUCGAAUCUUUGAACGCACCUUGCACCCUUUGGUAUUCCGAAGGGUAUGCCCGUUUGAGUGUCAUUGUAAUCUCACACUUAAGAUUUUUCUUGAGAGGUGGACUUGAAGGUUGCUGUCUUUGUUGAUGGCUCCUUUUAAAAGCAUUAGUGAUGUACAUCUUGCAUUACAAACCAGUGUAAUAAGAUUCCGCUGGGUUGAAAGGCUUGAAAAAUCGCUUCUAACCGUCCAUUGAAUUGGACUGCCGCUUGCGGUAAUUGACAACUUGACCUCAAAUCGGGUAGGACUACCCGCUGAACUUAAGCAUAUCAAUAAGCGGAGGAAAAGAAACUAACAAGGAUUCCCCUAGUAACGGCGAGUGAAGAGGGAAAAGCUCAAAUUUUGAAUCUGGUACUUUUAGUAUCCGAGUUGUAAUCUAUAGACGUGUUUUCCACGAUGGACCUUGCACAAGUCUCUUGGAACAGAGCUUCAUAGAGGGUGAGAAUCCCGUACAUGGCAAGGACUCCCGUUGUUUUGUGAUACACGCUCAACGAGUCGAGUUGUUUGGGAAUGCAGCUCAAAGUGGGUGGUAAAUUCCAUCUAAAGCUAAAUAUUGGCGAGAGACCGAUAGCGAACAAGUACCGUGAGGGAAAGAUGAAAAGCACUUUGGAAAGAGAGUGAAACAGUACGUGAAAUUGUUGAAAGGGAAACGCUUGAAGUCAGUCACGUUUUUGGGGAUUCAACCUUGCUUCUGCUUGGUUCACUUCCCUUUGAACGGGUCAACAUCAGUUUUGGUCGGAGGAGAAAGGCUUAGGGAAUGUGGCUCCUUUCGGGGAGUGUUAUAGCCCUUUGUUGUAUACUUCGACUGGGACUGAGGACCGCAGCAUGCCCUACGGCCGGGGUUCGCCCACGUACAUGCUUAGGAUGUUGGCAUAAUGGCUUUAAGCGACCCGUCUUGAAACACGGACCAAGGAGUCUAACAUGUGUGCGAGUGUUUGGGUGUUAAACCCGAGCGCGUAAUGAAAGUGAAAGUUGGGAUCACCUUGUGUGUGCACCGACGCCCGGAGCUGAGCUUCUGCAAGGCAUCUGCGGUUGAGCAUAUAUGUUGGGACCCGAAAGAUGGUGAACUAUGCCUGCAUAGGGUGAAGCCAGAGGAAACUCUGGUGGAGGCUCGUAGCGAUUCUGACGUGCAAAUCGAUCGUCAAAUGUGGGUAUAGGGGCGAAAGACUAAUCGAACCAUCUAGUAGCUGGUUCCUGCCGAAGUUUCCCUCAGGAUAGCAGAGACUUAUAUCAGCCUUGUGCGGUAAAGCGAAUGAUUAGAGGCCUA
rnacentral:rRNA from 1 species